rnacentral:lncRNA from 1 species
AGUGUAAACUAGGCUCUCUUCUAGAUCUGGGAACACUCGCCAUCCUCACCAUGCUGCACGGAGGAUCCCAGCUGUGUUCACUCACUGGAAUGCCCAUAUCAGUCCAUUCACUAUGUCAGGCUGGUCUUGCUGAAGCCAGUGGCUACCUUCUGACAAAAUGGCAUCGCCUUCCCACACUGAGAUCCGAGUGUUUCGUAGAUGCUCUCUCUCCUUUGCUGCCUGUUCCCUCUGUCUCGUCUGUGUUUCUAACGGUGGAAUAUACCAGUGCCCAAGAGUUCACGCCGCAUUUGGGAGAUGAUUAACCCCAGAAAAGGAAAGGACUGGGAAUAAGAGAAGAAUGCUGCAGACACCAAGGAUAUGGGAACAUAGACAAGAAAGGAAGAGAGAAAAGCAAAAUCCGUGGAAGUAUGAGAGAAAGACAGUACAAGUCAACGCUGAGCAUGGACUCUGUCUCCGGCCUUUAGAUGCUAGCAUCUGGCAUGUCAUUUCCCUUGAUUCCACCACCUUACUUAAGAAAACAAGGCCCAAGGGCUGAGGCGGUAGAGCAGUGGCAGAGCGUUUGCCUUUUAAGCAUGAGACCCAAGCUUCAGUCCCCAGCACUGCAGUCCCUUCCCCUAAAUGAGGUCCAAGUCAGUCACAUAAGUCAUGAAGAGGGCUAAGGAUGUAGCUCAGUGGUAGAGCACUCGCCUGGCAUGACCAAUGUGUUCCCCGGCGUCACUAAAGAAACAGAUGUUAAGAGGAAUGAAGUAUCCAGGUGACUAGAGUCACCACUAAUUCUUCGUUCUGCUUCUGAGGGGAAAAGAAAGGCAUUCUGAGGAAUUCAGGAAGAGUCAUAAGCUGUGUUUCAUCCUUAAGAUGGACAGAAUUAACAAAUGUGACUUCGCUGUUAUCUCUAAAAAAUUAUUUUAGUGGUGGUGAGUAUCAGGAGAAUGAAAUGCUAUGGCCACCACUCUGGAUUUGAU